rnacentral:lncRNA from 10 species
AUUAGAUGUGUCAUUUCUUUGUAAAAGUAUAUAAUGUCCUUACAAUUUUCAAGCUAUAAAUAUGUAAAUUUAAAAAAAUUAUCUUGAUUACACUGCUGGAAAUAGUCAAAGAUUUAUUGGGGCUUACUAUGAAUUCCAAUCAGUGAUAGUUAACUGGAGCCCCAUGGUGAUCACUUAGUCAAUAUCAGAUAAGCUAUGAGGACAUUUCUGAUUAUCACAUUCUUAUCAGAUUAAAUUUAUUUCCAGCAAUAACUACUCAGUGGGUUCCACUUGGAACUCUUAUUACUGCUUCUGCGGGAUAUAACAUUUAAGAGGGUAGAGUAUUGAUGACAUUGAACAAACACAUAAAACUUCAUUUGACUUUAGGUUGAUCUUCACUACCUUGCAGAAACAGUGCCUUACUUAGUUUUUCAUUCAUGUAGCCUAUUUCUGCUGAUGUUUAUUCUUUGUUUUCAACUGAUAACUAUAUUUAAAUCACAUAUCUUUCUUUUUUAUUUUGUUUUUGUUUUGUAAGUAGUUGUCUCAUUUGCUAUUGGAAUUCUGGAGUUAACAUUGUCAAAGGACUUUAGUUUAAGCCUUCGUAUGUUCAUUCAUAUUCAAGCUGAGAGAAAGCACCUAUACUGAAUUAGUAAGCCGUGCUUUUAUGAACCAGAUGCUGAUCCCAAAAAGUCCUCAAUAAAUAGAACCCUUUCUGUUUCUAGGUUUCUGAACAGACUGAACAAGAAUAUCUAACACUUCUACAGUUAUUCAGUUCUUAUACAUACCAGGGACCCCAGAUGGAGGGACAGAGUGAAGCUGCAGCAGAAGAACAUAAAUUGUGAAGAUUUCAUGGACAUUUAUCAGUUCCCAAAAUUAAUACUUUUAUAAUUUCUUAUGCCUGUCUUUACUGCAAUCUCUGAACAUAAAUUGUGAAGGUUUCAUGGACAUUUAUCACUUCCCUAAUAAUACUCUUAUAAUUUCUUAUGUCUGAUUUUACUUUAAUAUCUUAAUCCCGUUAUCUUUGUAAGCUGAGAAUGUAUGUCACCUCAGGAUCAGUAUUGUACAAAUUGAUUGUAAAACAUGUGUGUUUGAACAAUAUGAAAUCAGUGCACCUUAAAAAGGAAUAGAAUAACAGUGAUUUUCAGGGAAUAAGGGAAGAUAACCAUAAGGUCUGACUGUCUGUGGGUUGGGCAGAAUAGAGCCAUAUUUUUCUUCUUGCAGAGAGCCUAUAAAAGGACGUGUGAGUAGGAGAGAUAUCACUGAAUUCUUUUCCCAGCAAGGAAUAUUAAUAAUUAAUACCCCGGGGAAGGAAUGCAUUACUUGGGGGAGGUCCAUAAACGGCCGCUCUGGGAGUGUCUGUCUUACGUGGUUGAGAUAAGGCCUGAAAUACUCCCUGGUCUCCUGCAGUACCCUCGGGCUUACUAGGAUUGGGAAAUUCCAGCCUGGUAAAUUCUAGUCAGACCGGUUCUCUGCUCUCAUCAGACCUGUUUCCUGUUAAGAUGUUUAUCAAGACAAUAGAUGCACAGCAGGACAUAGACCCUCAUCAGUAAUUCUAAUUUUGCCUCCACCUUGUGAUCUUUCUCGCCCUUGGAAGCAUGUGAUCUUUGUGACCUACUCCCUGCUCGUACACCCUCUGCCCUUUUAAAAUCCCUAAUAAAAACUUGCUGGUUUUGCGGCUCAGGGUCAUCAUCACGGUCCUACCAAUAUGUAAUGUCACCCCUGGAGGCCCAGCUGUAGAAUUUCUCUCUUUGUACCCUUUCUCUGUAUUUCUCAGACCGGCCAACACUUAGGGAAAAUAGAAAGGACCUAAGUUAAAAUAUUGGGGGCUGGUUCCCCCAAUUGUAUGUAGUAGGCAUAUAUAUUUAUGGGGUAAAACUAAGCAUAUUUUUAAUGCAUGGAAUAAGACUAGAAAUUAAUAAUAAGAAAUUUUGGAAAGUAUAAAAAUACAUAGAAAUCAUUUAUUCAAAAAUUAUGUUUUAUUUGCAUAAAUUUAAGGGAUACAGGUGCAGUUUUUUUGCAUGGAUAUAUUGCAUAAUGGUCAAGUCUGGGAUUUUAGUGUAGCCAUCAUCCAAAUAACAUACAUUGUACCCAUUAAGUAAUGUCUCAUUCCUCACCUCAUUUCCAUCCUCCCACCAUUCUGAGUCUUCAGUGUUUAUUAUUCCACAUUCUAUGUUCAUAUAUACACAUUAUUUAGCUCUCAUUCAUAAAUGAGACCAUAUGGUAUUGGACUUUCUAUUUCUGAGUUGUCUCACUUAAGGGCCUCUAGUUCACCCAUGUUGCUGCAGAAGACACAAUUGCCUUCUUUUUAAAGGCUAAAUAGUAUUCCAUUGUGUGUAUAUACAUAUAUAUACAUGGGGACUAGCAGUAAUGCACGAAGUACAUAAAAGCACCUAUGUAAUAGUGCUAAUUGAUUAGUACUGACAUGGUAGUCAAAGUAUGUGCUGAGAAAGAAUUCAUACACAGUUAAGAGAUCUAUAUACAUGCAUAUAUAUGAGAAAUUUUCUUUAUCCAGUCGCCUGUUGAUAGACACUUAGGUUGAUUCUAUAUCUUUGCUGUUAUGAAUAAUGCUGUAAUAAAUAUAUGUGUGCAGGUAUCUUUCUGACAUAAUGAUUUCUCUUUUCUUUGGACAGAUAUCCAGAAGUGGGAUUACUGGAUUGAAUGGUGGUUCUAUUGUUAGUUCUUUGAGAAAUUUCCCUAGUAUUUUCCAUAGAGGUUGUACUAAUUUACAUUCCCACUAACAGUGUAUAAGCAUUUCUUUUUCUCCACAUCCUUGCCAACAUCUGUUAUUUUUUGACUUGUAAUAAUAGUCAUUCUGACUGGGGUAAGAUGAUAUCUCAUGAUGGUUCUUAUUCAUAUUUCUCUAAUAAUUAUCUACAGCAUUUUUCAUAUGCUUAUUGGUUAUUUGUAUGUCUUUUGAAAAAUGCCUAUUCAUGUUUUUUGCCCACUUUUUAAUGGGGCUAUUUGUGUUUUUAAUGUUAUUGUUUGAUAUCCUUGUAUAUUAUAUUCUGGAUAUUAUUCCCCUAUAAGAUGAAUAGUUUACAAAUAUUUUCUCCCAUUCUGCAGGUCUUCUCUUUACUCUGUUGAUUAUUUAUUUUGCUGUAAAGAAGCUUUUUAGUUUAAGUAAGUCCUAUUUGUCUAUUUUUGUUUUUGUUUCUUUGCUUUGAGAUCCUAGUCACGAAUUAUUUGCCUAGACCAAUGUCCAGAAGCGUUUUCUCUAGAUUUUCUUUUAGUAUUUUCAUAGUUCUCGGUCUAUUGUGACAUAUGUAUCCAUAUUUUUAUGCAUUUUCUAGUAUUGUACUUGAUAGUUUUCAUUUGGUUCAUAAUUAAUUAAAUGAAAAUAUAUAGUAGAAGCUUUUCAUGUAACAAUAACAUCAAUUAUUUUGUCUGUUAUAUAUGUUCCCAUAUGGAACAAAGGCUUUUAGGCAGAAACAUGCCUGGUGUUUUGGAGAGACAAAACAGUGAUGACUUGUGUAGUAAUAAAUGAAGAACAUGGUAUUAAGAGUUGAUGUCUGUGGUGGGGCAUUGACAGCCUUAUGGACUUUUCUUUUUUUUUUUUUUGAGACAGAGUCUCACUCGGUCACCCAGGCUGGAGUGGAGUGCAGUGGCAUGAUAUCAGCUCACUGCAAGCUCUGCCUCCCGGGUUCACGUCAUUCUCCUGUCUCAGCCUCCCGAGUAGCUGGGACUACAGGCGCCCGCCACCACGCCUGGCUAUUUUUUUGUAUUUUUAGUAGAGGUGGGGUUUCACUGUGUUAGCCAGGAUGGUCUCGAUCUCCUGACCUCAUGAUCCGCCCGCGUCGGCCUCCCAAAGUGCUGGGAUUACAGGUGUGAGCCACCGCGCCCGGCCAUGGACUUUUCAAGGUAAAGAAAGACCAUUCAUAUGAAGUCAGAGUAAAAUGGGGAGUUUUAGAGGCUAUAGAGAGGAGUCACGAAAAUCAGGAAAAGUUAAAGAACAUGAAUGAAGGCAAAGAGCACAACCAACAGUGACAAAUGGUAUUAUUGCGUCAAAUAUGAUGAUGAUUGAAAAACACUGAAGUCAUGGACAUUGUGUCUGUGGGGCAAAAGUCUAAGUGGAUUGGCUUAAGAGAGGUUGAGAGGAGAGCGGGUGAGGAUAGAAAAGUCAUUCAAAGGUUUUUGCUACAACAUGGGAGCAAGACAAUGCAGAAAACAGGUUCAAGAUAAAUUUUAUAUUUUAUUUUAUAUAUAGAAUAGGAAAAAUACAGCACACAUCAAAGCAAAUGAAAAUGAUCCAGUAGAGAAAAUAGGAUGUAUAGAUGAAACAGGUGUUAAAGCAAACUAAAUAUGGCCUGAGAAUGACUCCAUACUUAUGUAUUUGAGUACUUGUGGAU